rnacentral:tRNA from 1 species
GUCCAGGGGCGGGAAUCGAACCCAUAACGUUCCGCUUACCGGGCAGAUGCCAUGUCCACUAGGCUACCCUGGA